rnacentral:lncRNA from 1 species
AGCUGAGGCCGCCUCUGAGGCUAGCGAAGACGACGCUUCCGAGGUCCCGACUGGGAUGUAGGCCGCAACUGACGCCAAUGUGGAAGUCGUCCAUGUCGAUUGAUUUUUUUGUUUUUAAUUUUGUGAAGUCGGCCGUUUGGGCCCUUUGUAGCUAAUCCGAUCUUAAGGUCGGGCACCCAUGUAUUUGGCCUUCGGCCUUUAUCAAUGAAGUUCAUAUUUCUUUCAAUAUGUUUUGCCCUGGAUCAAGUAUUUGAGCUCAUCCCGCUUUAUGCUCGGAUGUCGAGAUCCGAACUGCAUAACUUAGGUCUAGGCCUAUCUCACAUAGCAGGAGCCACAUUUGGCAUUUGCAGAAGUCUUCUGGCUCAGCAUAUACCUUUGAUUCGAAGAUAAACCUUAUAUGGAGCGAGCUUGUAGCUCUUUGUUUAAUAGUGCGGGCUGCUUUCAGCCUUGCCCAGGAGAGCGAAAUCGGAGGAGGAAGAAAUUGACUGAAAAUUAACUUAAGGAUAGAAGCCCGCCCGUG